AAAACAUGGUCUUUUGGAAAAAUAAUAGAUCUAUUCUGCUCAAUGAAUUUAAACUUAAAUAGCCGCAGUACUUUGACUGUGCUAAGGUAGCAAAAUAAUUUGACUCUUAAUUAGGGCCCCGUAUGAAAGAAAUAUUGAUUAAUAAGUGUCUUUAUUUUAUUAUUAAAAAUUUACUUCAUUUGGUGAAAAUUCCAAUACUAUGAAAAUAGACGAGAAGACCCUUAGAAUUUUUAAAAUUUAUAAGAUAAUUAUAAUUUUUUUUGUUGGGGCGACAAUAUACACAAAAUUAACUUAUAUAAAUUUACACGUCUAAAAAAUAAUUGUGAAAAUAAUUACCUAAGGGAUAACAGCAUAAUAUUUUUUUUGAUUGUGACCUCGAUGUUGGAUUAGGGACUAAAAUGGUUAAAAAUUAUUUUAGUCUACUUCUGUUCGAAGUUUUUUACCUACGUGAUCU
rnacentral:rRNA from 1 species